GGAUGUGAGGGCGAUCUGGCUGUGACAUCUGUCACCCCAUUGAUUGCCAGGUUUCAUUGGACCGAUCUGGUUGGCGAGGCGGGCGUCCCCUUCCUCUCUCACCGCUCCAUGUGUGUCCCUCUCGAAGCUGCGCACUCAGUCGAAGAGGACGACCUUUCCCAAAUAGAGGAGGACCGGUCUUCAGUCAAGGGUAUACGAGCAGCUGCGCUCCCCUGCUAGAACCUCCAAACAAGCCCUCAAAAUAGGACAAGGAAUGCUAGGGUGCUUAGCUCUCUGCUCUGUCAUUUCCUCUUGUUCUUUAAUAGAAGUGUUAGAUUAUUAUA
rnacentral:snRNA from 1 species